rnacentral:lncRNA from 12 species
AAUAUGAAUAUAAGUGUAUUUAGGAAGAAUUAAUUCAUUUUUUUGUUUGUAAUAAUUGGGUGUUGUGGGUUGUUUUUUUUUUUUUUUUUUAAUCCUUUUGCAUCACAUUUUUUGUUAAAAUCUGUAAGAUAGGAUCCCUGCCUCUCUUGAAAGUAUUUUUGGCCAGGAACACUGCAACUGCUACAUUUAUAAAUAAACAACAUUUAUAAACAAAGUUUGCUAAUGAUGAAGACCACGGGAUACAGAUUCAUGGCCAUGCACCUAAUUGUUGCAAUUACAUAUCAUUUCUAGAAAUUAAAUGCCCAUGUUUGGGCAGCUAAAUGUAUUAUUAUCUGCACAUUUUUUUAUGGUUUAUUUUUGUACACUGCUGUCAAGCCAUGGUAUUUUUCUUUCUCUUACUGCAGAGUCUUUUAUAGUCUCCAUUUUCUCUUGAAAAAAAAAAAAGAGAGAAGACUAGAAUUAUUUUUUAGAUGUGUAGCAGUAGUGCUCUUAUAACUUAAUUCUCAUGUUUGUCCUUUUUCCUUUAUUAUUUAGUGAUUCACAGGGGUGUCUAAACAUUUACAGUCCUCUGUUAGCGGCGUUUCUUUUGUAACAAUUGAGCUCUCUCAUUUUAAUUAGUACUAUUCAGAUUUUUGAUUCUCUACAAUUACAGCAAGGCCACAUUUCUUUAGACUUCUUUGCGAACAUUGUUUGUUUCACUUCUUCCAAGCCAGUCUAAUCCAAAUACAAUGUGAACUGUGUUUUCUUACUGCUUAAUAUCCCCUUGCUAUAUAUACUCUAGUAAUCUCUGUAGAACAAUAUAGAGUAAUUUAGAAACCAUGCGUUUGUCAUUAUUGACCAAUUCAAACCAGUAGUAUUAAAGUUUCUGAAAGCAGUGAAUAUUUAUAGAAGAAUGUGGAGGGGGGAGGGUAUGGGUCGAAUCCUGUAAAAGAUUGUGAAACCAUAACAUCAAAAACACAAUUGUAGUUUCAUGUCAGUACAUACAGAAGAACUUCAUGCAAAAAGGAAGAAAGGAAAAAAAAAAAAAAAUUUUUUUUUUUUUUUUUUUUGAGAGAGAGCAAGCGAGCGAGCAUGAGUUGGUGGAGAGGAGCAGAAGGGAGAAUCUUAAGCAGGCUCCACACCUAGCGUGGAGCCCAAUGUGGGGCUUGAUCUCACAACCCUGAGAUCAUGACCUGAGCUGAAAUCAAGAGUCAGAUGCCUAACUGCCUGAGCCACCUAGGCACCCCUGCAAGGCGAAUUUUAAAUUGCCUUCAUGUAUCUUUCUAAUCUUUCAAAGGUCUGAUGAGGAACUAGACUCAGCUUUUCAUCUUGAUUUGAGUGAUGA